GCCCCCGUAGCUCAACUGGACAGAGCAUCUGCCUUCUAAGCAGGAGGUUUCCCGUUCGAGCCGGGACGGGGGUA
rnacentral:tRNA from 1 species